CUACGGGGGGCAGCAGUGGGGAAUAUUGCACAAUGGGCGCAAGCCUGAUGCAGCCAUGCCGCGUGUAUGAAGAAGGCCAUCGGGUUGUAAAGUACUUUCAGCGGGGAGGAAGGGAGUAAAGUUAAUACCUUUGCUCAUUGACGUUACCCGCAGAAGAAGCACCGGCUAACUCCGUGCCAGCAGCCGCGGUAAUACGGAGGGUGCAAGCGGUAAUCGGAAUUACUGGGCGUAAAGCGCACGCAGGCGGUUUGUUAAGUCAGAUGUGAAAUCCCCGGGCUCAACCUGGGAACUGCAUCUGAUACUGGCAAGCUUGAGUCUGGUAGAGGGGGGUAGAAUUCCAGGUGUAGCGGUGAUAUGCGUAGAGAUCUGGAGGAAUACCGGUGGCGAAGGCGGCCCCCUGGACGAAGACUGACGCUCAGGUGCGAAAGCGUGGGGAGCAAACAGGAUUAGAUACCCUGGUAGUC
rnacentral:rRNA from 1 species